AACGAACGCUGGCGGCGUGUUUAAGACAUGCAAGUCGCACGGUGUCAUUUUGGUAGCAAUACUUGAAUGGCAUAGUGGCGCACGGGUGAGUAACACGUGAAUUACAUGCCCUAUAGAGGGGGAUAGCCCAGGGAAACUUGGAUUAAUACCCCAUGGUCUCGCAAGAGGAAAGGUGGCCGCAAGGCUGUCGCUAUAGGAUUGGUUCGCGCCCUAUCAGCUUGUGGGCGGGGUAACGGCCCACCAAGGCUACGACGGGUACCUGGUCUGAGAGGACGAUCAGGCACACUGGAACUGAGACACGGUCCAGACACCUACGGGUGGCAGCAGUCGAGAAUAAUUCACAAUGGGGGCAACCCUGAUGGUGCAACGCCGCGUGGAGGAUGACGGUCUUCGGAUUGUAAACUCCUGUCAUCCGGGAGUAAGACCUGGGAGUUAAUAGCUCACAGGGUUGAUAGUACCGGAAGAGGAAGGGACGGCUAACUUCGUGCCAGCAGCCGCAGUAAUAC
rnacentral:rRNA from 1 species